rnacentral:lncRNA from 1 species
ACCACAAGUUGCUAGAGGUCACGUGCCAGAAUGGAGAGGUGAUGGUCCCCACCAAGCUGGCAACUGUGACUGCUUUGCUUUCUUGGCCCAGGACCCUGUGAUGCUCCUGUCCGUGGCCCAACAUGGGUCCCAAAGGGCAACGAAACUCAUGGCUGAGAGCAGUCCAAACACGCCGCAUCCCUAAGGAGCAGACAGAAUGGAGGAUCUGACUGUUUUAAGUCUUUUCUUGCCUUCACGCUGAGGGACUGCAGUGAAAAUGAAUUUUGAUCCUCAGAGGGUAAUGAGAAACAAACCCUGGAGACAGAAAACUAAGGGUGUGUGUAACCCUUCCUUCCUUCCUUCCCCACCCAGAUACCCACAUCUGUGGGCCGUUACGUCACUCUCUCUUCCCUUCCAUCAGGAAUGCAGCCUCCCUGGGAUGGGAUUGGGUGCACAUACGCUGCGGGCUCCAGUAAACAGGUACCCGCUAAGAAGCUGUAGGGAGAUAUUUGAAUGAACGGGCACAUCAUGGUGUGAGACUUUUGGGAGCACACUGUGCAGGAGGAUGUCCAUAGUAAGAUCAAGAGAGAGUUUUAUAUAUGUAAACAUACAGUAUUUUCCAAACUAAGAGACUCUGCUGCCAGUUUUAAGGCAACAGACCCAAGCAGAGCCAAUCGUGGGUUUGCUUUAUACAUCAUCAUACUAAAGCAAUAGCUAUAUAUCUAUGUAUCUCUAUAUAUUUUUUUGUCUUUUCUGGACCACACUCAUGGCAUAUGGAGGAUCCCAGGCUAGGGGUCCAAUCGAAGCUGUUGCUGCCAGCCUACGCCAGAGCCACAGCAACGCCAGAUCCGAGCCACGUCUUCGACCUACACCACAGCUCAUGGCAAUGCUGGAUCCUUAACCCACUGAGCAAGGCCAGGGAUCAAACCCACAACCUCAUCGUUCCUAGUUGGAUUCGUUUCCGCUGCACCAUGAUGGGAACUCCUGAAUAGCUAUUAGUUAGAGCUGUCUUUGGCCCCACCUUCCUCCAGCCACAUGAAGGAAGACUACCGAAAGAGUGAAAGAACAAGAAAUCUGAUGACAGUCAUGCCACUUAGGCCAGUUCUACUCUGUACCCCACCCCCGGCCCACCUCACUUAUGUAAAUAGACACGGAGGGAGGUGUUUGUUGCUUAGGCUAGUAUGAGCUGGUUUUUGUAAUUUUCACCUGAGAUUUUUUCAGCCUUUUGUGUCAUGGAUUGGGUAGAGGAUUCAGAGGGAAGACCUGUGUUUGAGGCCUAGAGCCAGUUGGGUUUUUUUUGUUUUUUUUGCUGGUUUUUUUUUUUUAAACAGUGUCAAGAUAUCUUACUUGUCCAAACUUCAGUCUCGGCAUCUCUGUAAUGUGCAAGGUAUUUGUGAGGCUUCAAGGAGCUAAUUGUGUGAAAGUGCUUUGUAAAAUGAUAAAACAUUGUCUACAUGUUAAAGUAAUUACUACUCCAAGCACCAUUCUCCUACCAAAAGAAAGGGGGCGGGGAGUGGGAGUCUCGCCCAUGCACCCUGCCACUUGACCCAGAGGAACCACCAUUCUGACCUCUAUCAUUGAAGAUUAUCAGGAAACCUGGAUUUGAGUUGAAAUGCAGCUAAUUAAUUAUUAACAGCAUGACUUUAGACAAACUAACUUCUUUGAGCUGCAGUAUUAUCAUUAGUAAAGCGGAGUU